GAUGAACGCUAGCGGGAGGCCUAACACAUGCAAGCUGAGCGGUAGAGUCUCUUCGGAGACUUGAGAGCGGCGUACGGGUGCGGAACACGUGUGCAACCUGCCUUUAUCAGGGGGAUAGCCUUUCGAAAGGAAGAUUAAUACCCCAUAAUAUAUUGAUUGGCAUCAAUUGAUAUUGAAAACUGAGGUGGAUAAAGAUGGGCACGCGCAAGAUUAGAUAGUUGGUGAGGUAACGGCUCACCAAGUCGAUGAUCUUUAGGGGGCCUGAGAGGGUGAUCCCCCACACUGGUACUGAGACACGGACCAGACUCCUACGGGAGGCAGCAGUGAGGAAUAUUGGACAAUGGGUUAGCGCCUGAUCCAGCCAUCCCGCGUGAAGGACGACGGCCCUAUGGGUUGUAAACUUCUUUUGUACAGGGAUAAACCUAUCUACGCGUAGAUAGCUGAAGGUACUGUACGAAUAAGCACCGGCUAACUCCGUGCCAGCCGCCGCCGUAAUAC
rnacentral:rRNA from 1 species